rnacentral:rRNA from 1 species
CAGUAGCCGCGGUAAUACAGAGGGUGCGAGCGUUAAUCGGAUUUACUGGGCGUAAAGCGUGCGCAGGCGGCUUCUUAAGUCGGAUGUGAAAUCCCUGAGCUUAACUUAGGAAUUGCAUUCGAUACUGGGAAGCUAGAGUAUGGGAGAGGAUGGUAGAAUUCCAGGUGUAGCGGUGAAAUGCGUAGAGAUCUGGAGGAAUACCGAUGGCGAAGGCAGCCAUCUGGCCUAAUACUGACGCUGAGGUACGAAAGCAUGGGGAGCAAACAGGAUUAGAUACCCCCGUAGUCCCUGUCUCUUAUAA